rnacentral:rRNA from 1 species
UACAGAGGUGGCAAGCGUUGUUCGGAAUUACUGGGCGUAAAGGGCGCGUAGGCGGCCGCCUAAGUCAGACGUGAAAUCCCUCGGCUCAACCGGGGAACUGCGUCCGAAACUGGCAGGCUCGAAUUCGGGAGAGGGAUGCGGAAUUCCAGGUGUAGCGGUGAAAUGCGUAGAUAUCUGGAGGAACAUCGGUGGCGAAGGCGGCAUCCUGGACCGAUAUUGACGCUGAGGCGCGAAAGCCAGGGGAGCAAACGGG